rnacentral:lncRNA from 1 species
CACAAGCCCACAGGAAGUACUGCCAGGCUACUACUGAUGUUCAGACAGUUUCGCUCUUCUUGCCCAGGCCGGAGUGCAAUGGUGCGUUCUCGGCUCACCACAACCUCCAACUCCCGGGUUCAAGCGUUUCUCCUGCCUCAGCCUCCUGAGUAGCUGGGAUUACAGGCAUGCACCACCACACCCGGCUAAUUCUGUAUUUUUAGUAGAGAUGGGGUUUCUCUAUGUUGGUCAGGCUGGUCUCAAACUCCCGACCUCAGGUGAUCCACCUGCCUCAGCCUUCCAAAGUGCUGGGAUUACAGGCGUGAGCCCCCGUGCCCGGCCGGUGCUUGAGAUAUUUUGCAGAACCUGCACUUGAUGGAUCAGCUGGCACCACUCAGAUCAAUAAACUGGCUCAUCUGAUCUUGUGGCCCCCAGACCCAAGAACUGACUCAGCCCAAGAAGACAGCUCCAACUCCCAUGAUUUCAUCUCUGACCAAUCAGCAGCACUCCUGGCUCACUGGCUUCCCCCUACCCACCAAGUUAUCUUUAAAAACUCUGCUCCCCCAAUGCUCCGGGAGACUGAUUUGAGUAAUAAUAAAACUCCAGGCCGG